rnacentral:rRNA from 1 species
GAUGAACGCUGGCGGCGUGCUUAACACAUGCAAGUCGAACGGAAAGGCUCCUGCUUGCAGGGGUACUCGAGUGGCGAAAGGGUGAGUAACACGUGGGUGAUCUGCCCUGCACUUCGGGAUAAGCCUGGGAAACGGGGUCUAAUACCGGAUAGGACGAUGGUUUGGAUGCCAUUGUGGAAGGUUUUUCGGUGUGGGAUGAGCUCGCGGCCUAUCAGCUUGUUGGUGGGGUAAUGGCCUACCAAGGCGUCGACGGGUAGCCGGCCUGAGAGGGUGUACGGCCACAUUGGGACUGAGAUACGGCCCAGACUCCUACGGGAGGCAGCAGUGGGGAAUAUUGCACAAUGGGCGCAAGCCUGAUGCAGCGACGCCGCGUGGGGGAUGACGGCCUUCGGGUUGUAAACUCCUUUCGCUAGGGACGAAGCGCAAGUGACGGUACCUGGAGAAGAAGCACCGGCUAACUACGUG